rnacentral:rRNA from 1 species
UACGUAGGGUGCAAGCGUUGUCCGGAAUUAUUGGGCGUAAAGAGCUCGUAGGCGGUCUGUCGCGUCGGCUGUGAAAACUCGGGGCUCAACUCCGAGCUUGCAGUCGAUACGGGCAGGCUAGGGUUCGGCAGGGGAGACUGGAAUUCCUGGUGUAGCGGUGAAAUGCGUAGAUAUCAGGAGGAACACCUGUGGCGAAAGCGGCUCACUGGACCAUAACUGACGCUGAUGCACGAAAGCUAGGGGAGCAAACAGG